rnacentral:rRNA from 1 species
UACGGAGGGUGCAAGCGUUAUCCGGAUUCACUGGGUUUAAAGGGUGCGUAGGAGGGCAGGUAAGUCAGUGGUAAAAUCCCCGAGCUUAACUUGGGAACUGCCGUUGAUACUAUCUGUCUUGAAUACCGUGGAGGUGAGCGGAAUAUGUCAUGUAGCGGUGAAAUGCUUAGAUAUGACAUAGAACACCAAUUGCGAAGGCAGCUCGCUACACGAAUAUUGACUCUGAGGCACGAAAAGCGUGGGGAGUCAAACAGGA